rnacentral:rRNA from 1 species
CCUACGGGAGACAGCAGUGAGGAAUAUUGGUCAAUGGGCGUAAGCCUGAACCAGCCAAGUCGCGUGAGGGAUGAAGGUUCUAUGGAUCGUAAACCUCUUUUAUAAGGGAAUAAAGUGUGGGACGUGUCCUGUUUUGUAUGUACCUUAUGAAUAAGGAUCGGCUCACUCCGUGCCAGCAGCCGCGGUAAUACGGUGGAUCCGAGCGUUAUCCGGAUUUAUUGGGUUUAAAGGGUGCGUAGGCGGCCGUUUAAGUCAGCGGUGAAAGUCUGUGGCGCAACCAUAGAAUUGCCGUUGAAACUGGGAGGCUAGAGUAUGUUGGAGGCAGGCGGAAUGCGUGGUGUAGCGGUGAAAUGCGUAGAGAUGACGCAGAACCCCGAUGGCGAAGGCAGCCUGCCAGGCCAUGACUGACGCUGAGGCACGAAAGCGUGGGGAUCAAACAGGAUUAGAUACCCGAGUAGUC